rnacentral:rRNA from 1 species
CCUGAGAAACGGCUACCACAUCCAAGGAAGGCAGCAGGCGCGCAAAUUACCCACUCCCAGCACGGGGAGGUAGUGACGAAAAAUAACAAUACGGGACUCUUUUGAGACCCCGUAAUUGGAAUGAGUACACUCUAAAUCCUUUAACGAGGAUCCAUUGGAGAGCAAGUCUGGUGCCAGCAGUCGCGGUAAUUCCAGCUCCAAUAGCGUAUAUUAAAGUUGCUGCGGUUAAAAAGCUCGUAGUUGGAUCUCAGCUCCGGCCGGACGGGUCCGCCUACCGGUGGUUACUGUUCGCUGCCGAGCGUUCAGGGGGCCGCUGUCGAUGAUCUUCAUCGGUUGUCGGCGGUGACCCUCACGUUUACUUUGAAAAAAUUAGAGUGCUCAAAGCAGGCGCGACGCCUGAAUAAUUGUGCAUGGAAUAAUGGAAUAGGACCUCGGUUCUAUUUUGUUGGUUUUCGGAACACGAGGUAAUGAUUAAGAGGGACAGACGGGGGCAUUCGUAUUGCGACGCUAGAGGUGAAAUUCUUGGACCGUCGCAAGACGAACUACUGCGAAAGCAUUUGCCAAGAAUGUUUCCAUUAAUCAAGAACGAAAGUUAGAGGUUCGAAGGCGAUCAGAUACCGCCCUAGUUCUAACCAUAAACGAUGCCAGCCAGCGAUCCGGCUGCGUUCCUCAAAUGACGCGCCGGGCAGCUUCCGGGAAACCAAAGCUUUUGGGUUCCGGGGGAAGUAUGGUUGCAAAGCUGAAACUUAAAGGAAUUGACGGAAGGGCACCACCAGAAAUGGAGCCUGCGGCUUAAUUUGACUCAACACGGGAAAACUUACCCGGCCCGGACACAGGAAGGAUUGACAGAUUAAGAGCUCUUUCUUGAUUCUGUGGGUGGUGGUGCAUGGCCGUUCUUAGUUGGUGGGGCGACUUGUCUGGUUAAUUCCGAUAACGAACGAGACUC